GUUAUCAUUUCAGAAGGUUUAGUUGUAUGAUUUCUGGUGUCUUCCAUUUCAUCAUCUCUUGGGUUUGUUCUUGGUGAGUUGGAGGACUGAGACUGCUUCUUGCUCAUUCAUUUUGUAAUUUUCCUCUGGGAUUCCUGUAGCUGGCCAGGCACUCUCCCAAUGGGUUGCACUGGAAUGCUGUCAUGGACAGAUCUUCAAUCAUCCAAUAUCUCUGUGGCUAGCCAGGGCAUACCCCCUAAUUAUGGCACUGGAGACUUUUUUGCUCUGUGGUCUGUGAGACUGGCUGGGUGUUCCCUGAUGUACUGCACUGGGUUGCUCUGGAGCUCUGGGCUGGGCAGAGCUUGGAUCCUCUGUGCAGCUAGCAUGAAUGCACCUCCAGAGUAUGGUGCUGUGGCCUUACAUCUGGCUGGGUGGAGUUCAGAACCUCUGGGACCCAGGAAGCUAGGCAGAAUACACACCCAGAGUGUGGCAGCAUGGGGGUCUUGGGUCUAGCGGGGAGGAUUUCAGAACCUCCGGGACCCAUGCAGCUAGGCAGAGUGUGCCCCCAGAGUAUGGUGGUGGUGGGACCUGCUAAAUUGCUUUUGAGGGACUGACUCAAUGACUGAAGGACCUCUUGCCAGGCUCAACCUCCAGUUUUCAUCCCUUUCCAAUACUGAUGACCAACUUGUAACACACAGACCCUGGAGAGACCUUCAAGGUAUAUCUAAACCAUUGCCCAAGAGCAUCUGUUCUGACCUAUCUCCUCCCAAGUGUUCUGAGGCUAGGAGAAGACCUUCCUAUAAUGAGAAUAGCUUAAAAUGAAAAUCAGUUGUGGAGCCUAAGCACAAAAGUGCUGUUGGGCAACAGUAUCACGGUUCAUGACUGUGGUACAGCACACAGGAUGAGAUUACUCAGAGUCCAUGUCCCAGUUUUACCUCCAAGGGCCCAGGGGUGCUGCUUUUUGCUUGUGAUCCUUCAGUGUGAGAUUCUCAGGAAAAAACAGCUCUGAUCUGAAGCUUCUAUGAUAUUUUAUUCAUAGAUUCAGGAUGCAAGGAUAAAGCACAAAUGUCAAAUAUCUGUUCAGGAAUUCAGGUAGUGGACAGGGAGAGGACAGGGGAAGGAAAAGGUGGUCUGCUACAUGCCUGAACUUAGAGAUAAUUUAAGUAAUUAGUUGGAGUAUGGGAUGGACAAAGGCCAGAGCAUACAUUCCUUAAAUCAAUGUGCCAAGUAGUCUCAGACUUGUGACCCUGAAGACUAUCUUCAAUCUUUAACUCUGCAUUCUGGGAGGUUUUGGACUUGUUGCUACCAAAGUCCCUCAUCUCUGCAUAUUCAUCUCAUACAUACUUUUGGUCUAUGUCCCCACAGAGCAAGAGCAACAAAAUAGAUAAACAAAAUGAAAUAUGGUCAAGAGCCAAAGCAGCAAAUCUUGUUAUUCCAGAUAAUUGUUUAUUUAUUUCUUCCUGGGACCACAAGGUCUCCCUUAUCUUUUCCCUCUGCAUAUUUAUUUAAUUUUUUCCUAUUUUCCUUGUAGAAUUAUCUUUACUUCUUUUUGUAGAAAAAAAAAAGGAUGAGUUGUGAGGAAGGGGAAAGGGAUUUUUUAAAAAACAUGGAUUUUUAAAAAGAGUAAACUAUAAAAAGUACAUGUAACCUCUCCCCAAGAUGACUGUAAACUGCAUGAAUUGUAAACAUGUACUAAUAAAAUAAAAAAAAAUUAAAAAAGAACAAGGGCCAGUAACAGACUUACGCAGUCUUCAACCAAAGGAUUUACAGUAAAUAUUCUAGAUCUAUCAUACAUAGUCCCAAAUACUUUAGUACUCACAUUACUUUAUGUAUCAGACAAAAUACUACAUAUUAAAUGUGAUGGCCAAGCUACUGUAAGGUAUAUUGUGAUUUCAGACAUGAUAAAGUAUUUGAAAUUGUACCUACUCAUUAGCAUCAAUGAAAUGCAACACACUAGGGGGUUUGAUGUCUGGGUUCUAAAUUUCUAAAAAGAAAGGGUGUAACUGGUUUAGUCUAAUCAAUGAUUCAUGUCCUCAGACUCACAUGUCUAAAAAAACAAGCCAAGAUAGAUGCAAAAACUCAGUUUCAUUCACUGUAGAUAGCUUUUUCUUCCAUGUUUCAAGCAACCAACCAACUCACUGACCAACCAACAAAUGUGCUAGAGUCAUUCUAACUGCUUGCCUUGUAAUUUUAAAAUCUCUAUUACUUUAGAAUCUCUGUUUAGUGGGCCCAUAUUUGUUCUUUCAUACUGAUCCAACAUUGAAUUCCUCUUACCAUUACCUCACAUUUCUCACCUGUACUGUCAUAUAUGUCACACAAAUUUCUAAUUCAUUAAAAAAUCAAGCAGUUCCUUUAAGUGCAGCAUACAUCCUCAUGGGUUGACUUUAUAUCUCACCUUUAGGGGCCUCUGAGACAUGCUGCUUGCUGUAAGUUGAGAAGCAAAGAAGGUAUGUGGGAUGAGUCCUAUUGAGGAUCAGCAGUGUUUCUAAGGCAGCUGCCAAAGAAAGCCACUAGAGUUUCCUGAGAAGUUUGAGGCCAGUGUCCUUGGUGGGGAGAAGCCCCUUCUUCUGGAAGAAGACUCAUCAGAACUCAGUGAUCCAAUGUUCCCAGCAUCAUCAUGAUUUUUCUCUAUAUGCUCCCAAUCUAGAAUCCAAUUCCAUUUUUAUUAAUGCUCUCACUUUUAAAGUAGCCUCCCUAUGAGGCUGAGGGUCCAUUUUGCAUCUUAGGUAAUUUCAAGAUGAAAUUCGGUUUUGAUUUUCAUAUUAGUCAGAUAGAGGCAAAUCUGUAACAUGCCUAAAUAUUAUAUUCCUAGAGAUGAAAUAGCUCAGAAGAGCAAAAAGUCUUAUUUUACCUGUAGAGGCAGAAAAUUUUUAGGUCAAGAGAACAAAACUACAACCAAAGUCAUGGAAGCAGAGUCAUAUCUUUCUGUCCCAUAUAGGCUCUCGGAUUCAAGCCUGUUUACAGACCCUGGAUUUCCUGAAGCAGGGAAAAAGACUCAGUUCCUUGAAAUAGGAUCCAAGUAUACUACUAAACAUUUAUGCUAUUAUCUUCCCUGGAUUAUCCCAUAUGAACUUCAUCCUUUUAGUAAGGUAACUAUGCUUGGGGAAAAGGAAAUAGCUGAGGGCUUUUCAGGACUAUCAGGCACCAGAUCCAGAAAACUCAGAACAUCACUGUGCUCUGCUAGUCAGAAAAGGGAAUGGUGGAGGUUGGAUAUCAGAGUAAUUUUGGCUCAGGUCCACGGUUCCAGUGGACUCCUGAACCUAUUCUGUCGCUACUUCCUCGAUUUUGUACUAGAUCUUAGCCAAAAGGCUGAGAAGCAAUACUUCAUCAAUUCUGGAAUUCAUAAUUACAAUCAACAUACUCAGUUACUAGCAGAGACCCUACAUUAAUUCCCUAAACUAUGGAGUGAGGAAUAAAACACAAAGGUAGGCAAUUAGAAUCAAUCUGACUAGAAAACCAGAACAUUAAAAUUAAAACCAAGAAAUUAGUUCCACCAUGAAAGGCUUGGGAUGGUGAUUUCUACUACAUUCCUAUUGAACUCACUUAAUUGUCCUAUGUGAGAAAUACAUGGAUCUUAGAGAAUAAUGGUGGAUUUUACCAGGUUAACUAGAUGGUGAAUCUAAUAGUUUCAAUAUCAAAUGACAUGGUUUCACUACUUGAUGAAAUUAACAAAUAUUGUGGUACCUAGGAAUGCAGAUAUUCACUGACAAAUGCCUUUUCCUCCAUAUUUAUACAUGCCACUAGAAAGAAUUCAUUCUCAGUUAGCCAGGCAAAUGAUAAAACUUCACUGCUGUACCUCAAGAGUAUAUUAGUUCUUCAAUUUAUGUAAUAAUUUCUAUGGCCUGUAGGUUUGUGAUGAGUAUCUUACCCCCCACCUCAAAGGUCCCUUUGUGUACUCUAGGCUGUGGCAGCCAUCCAAGCUAAAGCAUAAACCUGAUAACAAUGGCCAAUGGAGAAAGCAAACUGACCUCUGCACUCUGAGAUAUAGGCAGUGAGAUGGUGGUGGCGGUGGUAGAAUGGGGAAUGGGUACACUGGGUAAAGUAUGAUGGGCUUAAUGCCACAAAUGUGAAAUCUAGUCCCCUUCAAAAACUACAUGUGACUGACUGGCCUGGCUUAUUACAGCGUGCACAACCCCCAUGUCCUUCCCAGCCCAGACUUACUGCUGUUCAAACUUUUGAGGGGUCUGUGUCUGUCCUGUAUUUUCUUAGGGAGCAUCUCUUGGGGGUCCUCUCCCACCUAGUCACUGUGCUGGGUUGAUCCCAGAAGCCUUGAAAUAGAGUAUGGUUUCUGAUUCCUGGAGCAACUCAGUCUUAAACAAUCAAAAUUGUUUCCCAAAAUAGCUUCUCAUUAAUCACUCCAAAAUGGUUGACACCGCAAUGAAUUUCUUCUCCAACUUGAACUUGCCAUGUAGAAGUUAUUUUAGAGUAAAAUCACAUACUGUUUUUGUGAUUUAUAAUAACUCUGGGCUUUUAUUGAUGCCAGUGCUGUCAGCCCAGCCCAUUGUUUCUUGUUUAGGGUGCUGACCCUCUUCAGGCUUAUUGGGUGCCUGCGGAGAGCAAGCUUCCUCCCUCGGAGCUAGAGUUAGCGUUUCACAUUGCUGCUUUCUUUCCCCUACACUGUCUUCAAUUUGUCAAGUCUCUGUAACUCCUAGAAUUUUCUUUUCUCCUCACUGCUAUUGUUUUCCAAGUGUCAUGAAGUGCUACAGACAUGGAGCAUGCUACUGGAUUUUACAUUGCUAUCUUCUCGGAUUGGUUUUAAAACAUAAAAUUUGUGCUCUGUGUCCACUAGAGGGUACCAGUCUUAAAGAUGGAUUUUUAAUUAUGAACUAAAAAGCAUGACUAAUUCUUAGGAUUAUUAGUCAACCUUUUUUCUCAGCCCUGGGUAAUUGUCAUUACCCAAUGGAUUUGUGACCAAAGUGGCCUUGGUAUAAAGGAUAGAGAUUUUUAUGAGCUCAGCAGCAUGCACUUCCACUUACCUAUGACAGCCUGAUUAUAGCCACUGUUAAGUGACUAAUUUACCAACAGCAGAGACCAGUGCUGAGUUCUGGAUGUGGCACUGCUCUCUGGAGUGAAUCAGCCAGCUAGUUGAUUGAUUACACUGGACUACUUCCGUCAUGGAGAGAGGGGCUUUUUUUUUUUUUACUGUCAUAGACAUUCUAAUAUAUGUAUUUGCCUUCUAUUUAUGCUUCUGGCAAAACUGCCAUUUAUAGACUUUCAAAAUACAUUUUCCAGUAUCCCAGUAUUCUACCAGCAUUGCUUCCUGUCAACCACAUCAGUAUGGAAUUUUCACACUCACAGAAUUUGCUGGUCUCUUACUAUGUUACCCACCAUCCUGAAGCAGCUGUUUCAACAGAAUCAUGGGAUGACCUUUGGAAGACUCACUGUUCCAGCAAGGUGGCAAUACCUUGCAGUGCUGGAGUAAUGUUAUCAAGAGUACUAUGCACAUUUUUAAUCAGUGUAUGAUAUACACUGUGUUUGUGUCUCAUAGCAAGGGUUCACAGUUUCAGUAAUCUAACGGUAGAAAUGGAAGUGGUACCAUACCUAAUGACCAUUAUCAAAAUUUCUUUCUGCUCUUCUAAUUUUAUACGAGGCUAGUCUAUGGGUCUUUUUUUCCCAGAAUGAGGAAUUCUCCCACCAUGAAACACAAUGACAAUUCUGCUGAACUAUAAAUCGAUACAGCUACCAGCUUCUUUGGGUUCUUCACACUUGGUGUCAAUAGGCUAAGGCAUGAGUUAUGAUGCUGGCUAACUUUAUUGAUUAUCAAGGGGAAGUUGGACAAUGAAUCUACAAUGGAAGUAAGGAAAAAUAUGUCUGGGAUUUAAGAUGCCUCUUAGAGCAUCUCUAAAUGUUACUACCUUAUAAUUAAAGUCAGUGGAAAACUACAGCAAUGCAAUUCAGGCAAAGACUAAUUAUGGCUCAGACUCUCAGGAAUAGGGGUUUAGGUUGCCCCUCAAGAUGAAGAAUCAUGACUCUCGGAGGAAGUCUAAGGAAGUAUAUAAUGGGUAAUAGAAAAAGUACUUACUUACAUAGAUAUGAUCAUGUAGUCAGUUGUAGAAAAGAGUACUGUAAUUAUAACUAUUAUGCAUUUUAUUCAUGUAUGAAUAAUAUCUUGGUCUUCUUUUGUCUCUCAUCUGCUUAUCAUCUAGUUUAAAAUAUAUUGGCUUUACAUCACAGUAUUUAAGACCUCAUUUACAGCAUAGUAUUUAAGUUACAGGAUAUAAAAAAAGCCAACACCAUUCUAUUGUGGAAAAAACCAGGACCGAAUUGGAUGGAAGACACACAUGGAAGGUGGUCUUCAACUUGAACUACAACAUCAGUGAUUCUUUGGGUCCCUUCUUGAUGACCUUUGAACUGGAACUGGGUCCUCUACUUUAGGAUGCCCAACCUGCAAGCUUUUCGAUUCAGAGUGUGACAUAGUCCUUCCCUGGCUCCAGCGGGCUUGCUCACCCUGCAGAUUUUGGACUUGCGAGUCAGUCAGAUGUGAAAUACUGUACGAACCCCAGUUUUAUGCUUCAGAGGCUGAAUCUUCCAAGUUCACAUCCUGUAUGCCAUCAAGAUCUGGAAUAUGAAGAGAAACUUGCUAGUGUGUUUGAAACAAAUUCUUAUUAUCUAGGCAUUGAGCAAGUGAGAAAAUUUCAAUCUACGUCCGGAAGAAUUUGACCUAAAUUUCCUUAUUCCUGUACAGCAUUAAAAUGGGAGUAACAUUCUGGAAAUAAUCAGCUAUUGUUUCAGUUUCUUCAAGUUUUCAAUUUGUACACUACUUAUUUUAUGAUUUUUGCUGAAAACUUUCAUGGUUUACAUUUCUCUCAGCAGAGUUUCUACGUGUAUUCAAACCUGAGGCUUGGACAAACAUUAACCAGCAAUUGAGAUUUGUCCAUUUUAUGGAGUAAAUUUUUUCCCUCAGGAAGUUUCCCUCUUAAAUAUUCUCUUUAAAAUUUUAUUCACAUACCUCUUUUUGCUACCACUGAUAUCUAGGAUCUUUAAAAUAUGUUUUAGUACUUUAUUUUUUUUUCUGCUUAUUACUGCAGAAGCAAUGGCCUACUGUGAAACAGUACACUAAAGCUAGAGAUUAACAUUUGAAUGGAUUGGUUAUUUUUCUGUUUCUUUUUUCUUUGAUUUUAGAGUGUAUCCUAGAUGAUGUAGCAUAUAUUCUUUUUCUUGUUGCUUGGAAAUACAAGACGUUUCUGGUAUCUAUUUUUGCAUUAAGAACUGCCACAAAGAUUAAUCCCAAAGGUCAACAAUUGAUUGUCUCUUGUGUUUCUGUGAUGCAUAUAGUUUAACUUCACAACUCUUAUUUAGAAUCUCUUGUACAGUUUUAGGUAGAUGGUAACUAGAGUCAUUAAGACUGAACUAAGCUGAUCUUUCUUUCAUGUUUUUUCUUUUUUUCUUCCUUUUUUCUUUCUCUUUCUUUAAUAUCUUUUUCCUUCCUUUUUUCCUUGCUGACAUGUCUCCAGAGAGUUUAUGUAUUUUUUUCAAUCAUAAGUACAAGUUUUUUAUCUGGUCUGAAUCUGCUAUUAAUUCAAUAUGCAAUGAUUACAGUGAUCAUCAGGUAGUAGAGAAAAUGUACAUUAAACUGUAAAAGAAAAGGUUGUGCAUGGGGGUUCUGGUAAAGAUAGCAGAUAGAUAACAGCAGGCUACAGAGGCUCCCUGAGAUAGUCAGCUUAAAUUUCAAAAUAAUACAUCAUGGAGAGUCCCGAACAGAGGGAGAUGAAUCCUCCUGACCCAAGGUGAGAAGAACUAAUCAAACACAGUUCCAGGGCUACUACUGGAACAGCUAAAGGCUUGGUGCUUCCACUGCAGCAUCCAUACUCACAUAGCUGCAACUUACUGAGCCGCCUGAAAUCGUGCCGCUUCUACUCACUGGAAAUGCAUCACACUGAGGUCGGGGGUUGGUGAGCCAAACACAGAGCUGAGCUGGUGGGGAACUUACAUUGACCUGCGGUGAGUGCCGGGAAUAAAACCAUUCCACAGAAAAAGGGGCUCCAACAGAAGACAUUCUGAGACCUGAAAUGAUCGGCAAGAACAAGGAGCCAUAGUGACUUCAGUCAGUUGCUCCCUUCCCAAAUGGGAUUGAUGGGGUGUGCUUGGCCAGGGUUACACUCCUGGCUGAGACCCAGUAAGUUAUCCCCAAUCAAUUCCCUACGUCAGGGUCAGGCAGCACACACGAAUGCAGCGAAGGCCUCAGCAGGUUCACUGACCCAGAGGGGAAGGGCCAGCAUAUGCUGGCCCUGUUUGCACCUUAAUAGCACACUCUGUUGGCAGGACCACCUAGCCAGCACACUUCAGAAAGAAUUGUAACCAAUAAAGAAAGAAACUGAGGCCUUCUACAUAUAUACUUGUAUGGAAGAAACAAAAAAUAUGAAAUUAGGAAGCAGCAUGAAAAAGUCCCCAGCUCUCAACCCUGAGAACAUUGACCCAGGAAAGGUAAAUACAAAGGAGAUUGAGGACAGCAAACAUACAACAUCAGAUACAGCCCCAGUGAUACCUUUGGGACCUCAUACACGAGUUCAAAAGUAAAAUAUUUAACCAAGUAAAGCAAGAUAUAAGUAGAUUAAUAAAAGAAAUGCUAAGCAUCUCUCAGGAAGACACAGACAGAAGAAUGGGGGAACACAAAAGAAGGGGAGAAUCGUUUGAUGAAGAAUGUAAAGAAAACAUAGACUACAUGAAGCAGGUUCAAAGAGAUUACCAGGAAAUUAAAAACUCCAUUGAAAGCUGGCAAAAUGUCUUGAAAGAAACUAAGGAUAGAUUAUCCAAACUGGAGGAUGGGUUUGCAAUGUGGGAGCAUGAAAGGAAAAAUUGCUUAAAAAUAACAAGGAAAUAGGCAGUAACAACACAAAGGCUAGAGAUGACAAGAGGAUCUAUAAGUUAAGAAUAAAGAAUGUAAAUGAAGAAGCAGGGAUACAAACAAAGGAACUACAAAUGCUAUUCACAGAAAUAAUUAAGGAAAACUUCCCAAACAUAGGAAAAGGAAAUGAUAUUCAGAUGUAUGAGGCAUACAGAACUCCAGCCACCUACAACCAAAACAGAGCUAUACUCAGACAUAUAAUAAUCAAAAUCCCAGAAAUCCAGUAUCAGAACAGAAUAUUAAAAGCUGUCAGAGACAAGAAACAGAUUACUUACAAGGGAAAGCUCAUCAGAACUAUGGCAGACUUCUUGACACAAACCAUCCAAUCAACAAGAGCCUGGAGUAAAGUACUCCAAGCCCUGAAAAAAAAAAAUAGCCUCCAGGGGGCUGGGGAUUUAGCUCAGCGGCAUAAGCACCUGCCUUGCAAGCAGGCAGUCGUGAGUUCAAUCCCUGGUACUGAUAAAAAUGAAAAAGACAAAAAAAAAAAAAAAAUUAGCCUCCAGUCCAAAUUGAUGUUCCCUGAAAAACUGUCUCUAGAAAUUAAUGGAGAAACAAGACGCUUCCAAGACAAAGAGAAACUGGGGGAAUUUGCAACUACUAAUCCAACUCUACAGAGAAUAUUCCAGGACAUUCUAAAGAAAGAGAAAAGUACCAGGAUUCCAGGAACAGUGGCAGAGAGUCCUCAAUGAAUGGAGCAGAAAGCAAAGUGAAGAAGACAAACAUAACUAAUGACAGAAAAAGAGCACUACAGACAUGAGGCAGAGAAGGUUGGCUAUAAUCUCUAAUAUAGAUAGCUGUGACACACUAAAUUAAAAAAAGAAAAAAAAAAGAAUUACAGGGAGAGUAGAUCAGGAGGUAGAGUCCACUGAGAUGGUCUUUAUAGGAAAUAUAAUUAACCUGAAAAAGGGUAUAUGGACCGAAAAUCAAAUAUGAUAAAACAAUGCUCUGUGAGACAAGGAACCAGAGAGUAAUAGGGGAAACUGGACCAGUAUUUAUGGGCAGGUUGGAAAGACAGGCUUUAAUAGGUAAAGGAAUACAAUUAGAGAUCAAGUCCAGGAGGGAGAAGGUUCAGAACCACUUAGGUAAAUAGCAGGUUGCCCCCCCCCCCAAUUUAAAACAGAGAGUGUUGGUGAGACCAAAAAUUCACAGUAUACACUGGGGGAGUGAAAGGAGAGGGAAUAGUCUUAAAAAAGAGAGCAUAAGAUAUUAUUAAUAGUGUAUCAGGAAUUAAAACCCAUAUUACUCGCACUGCUCUGCUUAGAUAGAACAUAUUCUGUCCCAGUUUGUCUGCAAGCACUAGAUCUGAGGGCACAGACAGCUAUCCCAAAAAUAUCAGGAUAUACCACAGUAAUCAUCUUUAACUUCCUGUUAACUUAAUCUGGAGCCCUGUAUAACUUAUACUGUUAAAGUAUGACUGAUCUUAGUUAAAUCUGGUUUGUUUGAUUGCUGUUUGUUAUCAACAGAUUUUAUUCAAAACUAUUAUAAUUGAUAGUAUCAAGUCUGAGAGUAUAGACAACUAUACUGAAAAUGACAAGAUUCACUAUGAUACCUGUUCUGGUUUGAUUACUACCUUUUUUCUUUUGUAGUUUUACACUAUCUAAAAAGUUGUAUUUCUGUAAAUACUGUUAUAUACUGAUAUAUUCAAUUGUACUAUAUCUGAUUGUAUAGCCAAUUCUAUUGAAAAUAACAGGGGACAACACAGUAACCAUGGUAGAACUCCUUGUACAGUGGUUUUAUAUAUCUUUUUCAUGUUAUGUGUCUAUAGGAAUAUGCUUUGUUCUGUCCUGCUUUGUUUUGUUUCCCCCUCUAAUAUAGAAAGGAUAAAAGUACAUAUUAAGACUCAUGCAUGCGUAGAACCUAUAAACAGUUUACGAGAUCUGAUCUUACAACACAUGAUGAGAUGAACAAAUACUUUGAAGGAAAAAAGACACUACAGUACCCAGUGCUGAUCCUGGAGUGUCAUGAUGUGAAAUCCAGCAAUACUAUUAUUCUUUGUCCAGAGUGAUUUUAGUCAGCUUUGGUCUGUUUAAUCUCAACAUAAAGGAAGAUAUGGCUAACUGCAUGUAUGUUUAAAUGUAUAGGAUUGAUAACCAUAUUACUAAGGUUUUUUUUGGAUAGUUGAAUAGAACUAUUUGCAAUCUCACAGUUUGAAUUCCCACUUAUAUGUUCCAUUUUUGUAUCUUGAACAAUUAUUUGUAAGAGGACAAUAUGUAAACAUCAAUUAGUGAUUUAUUACUGUUUAUUUUUUCUUUGUAAGUAUGUAUUAUUUCUACCCAUUUUCUGUUUUGUUUAGUUUUUCUUUAAAUAAAUUUUUUUAAGUUGUGCCUGUUCAUAAUAAUGCUUUCCUCUUUUUUUUUUUUGUAUAUCUUCCUUUCUUCUAUUUUUGCUUUUACUAAUUACUAUCAUAGGCAGGUGACAUUAUUUGAUUCCCAUGUAGCAUAAAGUUUUAGAAAUACAAAAGAAUACUAUAC